UCAAACGUGCAGCGAUCGCCGGCGAAUAGUCCGCGAAUAGCUGAAGUUUCCGAGCCUUCCUAGCGAGCGGGCGAGCGUCGCGCUGACGGCAAGUUUGAUGCCAAGUAUUAAUCGUCGGAAUUGCUGUCGGGCGGAUACGGGCGGCACCCGUGACGGUAGACAAGAAAACGACCUCGCGCGUUUUCUCGCGGAGUUUCCACCGGACCAUCUGUUUUCUCGUUGCGUAAGACUCUAUUCUAACCGAUUAUGCGUGUAUCGUGCACACUCCCUCGGCCACGAGGAGGAAGAGCGUCGACGGAGCGCGAGAAUGGAUUCUACAGGGCGCUUAUCGCGAUAACGAGCGAGCGGAACAGUGGAUUACGGAAAUCGCGUAGCACGUCCAUGCGUGGAGUAAGGGGGAUAUCUUAUCGAUUGCAUAAGUGUAUGUAAGCGAUGCUCACGUAGUAAGAAAUUUUGCGUUACAAACGGCCGGUCUAAAUUUCUGUGUUACUUCGGAAAAUAUGUCGGAAAGUAUAUACGGAUAUGCUAAAUUAACGUGUUCACCUUGUUAACAUGUUACUUUGUAACAUACCUUAUUA